rnacentral:rRNA from 1 species
CUGGUUUCUAGUGGCGGACGGGUGAGUAACGCGUGGGUAACCUGCCUUAUACAGGGGGAUAACAACCAGAAAUGGUUGCUAAUACCGCAUAAGCGCACAGGACCGCAUGGUCCGGUGUGAAAAACUCCGGUGGUAUAAGAUGGACCCGCGUUGGAUUAGCUAGUUGGCAGGGUAACGGCCUACCAAGGCGACGAUCCAUAGCCGGCCUGAGAGGGUGAACGGCCACAUUGGGACUGAGACACGGCCAA